UCUUUGCUAGUCUCGCUGGUGAAGCCAUACGUCUUGAUAUCGUUCUCAUAUCUCAAUUGUAUUUGCAUAAGUGGCCACCAUGAUAGUGGAUCUCAUUGUUGAUAGUGUUCUCACCAAAAGGGCAACAUUGGGCAAAACUGGAUUAAAUGAUUUUGAUAAAAAUCAUCAUCAUCAUCAUCAUCAUCAUCAUCAUCAUCAUCAUCAUCAUCAUCUCUGCACUGCCCUCACUUUCUAAGCUCAACCUAAAGAACAAAAAUAAGCUGUUAUAAAGUACAUAAUGUUUAUAAUUCUGCACAUUUUAAUUAAGGUAAUAGGCCUUACAAGCAAUCAUUUAAAACAAUUUGUUUUUAUCAUUGUAACUAAUGAAUAAUGAAUCAUUCAUAUUCAAAUUAAAGAAUUGUUUGAAGCA